rnacentral:rRNA from 1 species
AACGAACGCUGGCGGCAGGCCUAACACAUGCAAGUCGAGCGAGGACUUCGGUCCUAGCGGCGGACGGGUGAGUAACGCGUGGGAACGUGCCCUUUGCUUCGGAAUAGCCCUGGGAAACUGGGAGUAAUACCGGAUGAGCCCUUUGGGGGAAAGAUUUAUCGGCGAAGGAUCGGCCCGCGUUGGAUUAGGUAGUUGGUGGGGUAAUGGCCUACCAAGCCGACGAUCCAUAGCUGGUUUGAGAGGAUGAUCAGCCACACUGGGACUGAGACACGGCCCAGACUCCUACGGGAGGCAGCAGUGGGGAAUCUUAGACAAUGGGGGAAACCCUGAUCUAGCCAUGCCGCGUGAGCGAUGAAGGCCUUAGGAUUGUAAAGCUCUUUCAGCUGGGAAGAUAAUGACGGUACCAGCAGAAGAAGCCCCGGCUAACUCCGUG